rnacentral:lncRNA from 1 species
UCGGAACCCUCACAUGGUCUGUACGACAUCCACCUACUUGGAUCCAAGGCGAGCGUGCGGUGUGGUGAAUAAAAUAAGCACUAACACCUAGGGUGCAGAUUAUGAGCUUCAAAUUAUAUCAACAUCAACCAAUUCAAUGCAUAAAUGAACUCACCUGACUUACCUUUGCCUCCACAGCACCAUGCAAUAUGUAUGCAUCAUAUAUCAAUCAUAUAAUUCAUAAACCAAUCCAUGAUUUUCAAAUAAUUCUAUGCAUGGCAUGUUCAAAACAUAUUUUCAUAUAAAACAUUUUCUGGGAAAAACAGUAGUAUAUAGGUAAUACGAAAACAAAACUGCCCACUCACCUGGAGUUCGCUCAACAACUCCCUAGCACCACACAUCAAGGCGUCAUGAAGAUUAGCGCCUAGAACAAUAAUCAAACCCAACCUCAGAAAUCCUGCCGAUAGAAUACAUAACUUAUAUAAGACACGUCACUACGUAGUUCGAUCCGGAUGAUCUGCAAUUCAGAUUUCAAAAUCCGAAACUUCCAGAGGUCCACAAUAUACCUCUAGGACAACAUCCUAAAAUUUCGUUACCAUCCAACGGUCGGAUCUCCGUCAAUUUCCAAAACUAAGUGACGGUUAACAUUCUAUUUUAUGAACUUACAAUUCUAAUUCCGGAAUAUCCGUAAAUCGGAUUCCCAAUCCGUAAGUUCCUAUAAUCCUCAAAUAUUACGUAUUACAAUGUAUCAAAGUUUGAUGACGAUCCAACGGUCGGAUCGUCAAUUCACAUUUUCACCUAACCCCGAAUCGUAACCAACUUAGGUUCAAUUAUUCAAUUUACGUCCAUCAAUUAUCAAAACAGAACCUAGAACCUUAAUCACAAGCUAAUAAUGACAUUGGCGGCCAUUGGCCACACGCCGCCGCGCGGGCCGCCGCGGGUGGCGGUUGGCCGCCCCCGGCUCGCCGGAAAAUUCAACUAUUUCCAAAAAUUACCAAAAUUUGCAGAUUUGAAGAUCUCAAUGAGUAGAACAACUUUCAUACCUGAGACCAAGGCCAAUUUGGCCUGGAAGUGCUUCAAUUUCACCAAAACCGUGAAGAACCCUAGAAUUUGGGUGUUUCCAAUUCGACCUUCAAACUUGUUCCAACGCCUCAAUUACCUCUUGGGCUUUGUUCUAGGUCCUAAAGGAAUGCUAAAGGUGUUAGUAAUUGAAAGAAAACAUUUCAAAAUUUGGAGAAUUUAAACAAAAGGGUCGCGGCACCCGUAGGGGUGUUCUUCGCGAAAUCACAACGAAAUUCAAUGAUUCUUGGGGUGAAACGUAAAGAGGGAAGGCCUAGAUGAUGAUUAGGAGUGGUACCUUGACUCAAUUCGUUGGAAAUUUGGACGGAAAUGGCGAAAACCCGCCGAUUUGGAAGCUUGGGUCGCGCGGUCAAGGGUGACCCAUUCCUCCUGUUCCCCCGCGCACCACUCUCCCUCCUUUCCCUCCUUUCCGUCCCCUGAUUGGUCAGCUUCUUCCUCUCCCUUCUUCUGGUUUGCUCUCACCUUCUUCUUCUCCGAUUGGGCAUUUCUGCCCAGUCUCUUCUUCUUUUCUGUUUUUCUGUUUCUUCUUCUCAUACACAUACACACACCAAAAACCUUUCCCUCAUCCCAGCCAUCCAUUUCAUUCAUCAAUAAAUCUGGGCCGUCCAAUUUCAUAAAAGAAUUUCUAUAUUUUACUAAAAUUAUAAUUCCUUAAAAUUCCAAAUUUCAAACGUUAAUAACUUCUUCGAUAUAACUCCAAAUCACGAACCGUCUGCGCCCACACGUCCGUAACGACGAGUACUACGAGGAUAUGUCAAGAAAACAAAUCUUAGAUGGCACGACACAACGAUUAACCUCGAAUGAUGUGCGUGCCUCGAAGGGCAUUUUUGUAAAAUCCUUUAUUAAAACUUUAAAAAUUCUUAAAAUUAGGGACGGGCUGUCACAAUCUACCCACCUUACAGAAAUUUCGUCCUCGAAAUUUACACAAUCUUUACAAUCCAUCAAUAUCCAUGAAACAGCCCGAAACACAUCUCUCUCAUUCGAUUCUUUGACUUUCAAGUAGUUUCUUCCACUGAAAGAUUCCUCCAUAAAUUUUCACCAAACUCAGAGUCUUGAAUAUCAUCCGUCCCCAAUUCUAACAAUUUCGAAACACAAGACAUAGCUUUCCCACGGCCUUAUGGCGUUACUCUAGGGAACAAACUGAAGGAACCAACAUACCCAAGAAGUUUAAACAGAUCCCAAUCUCCUUUUUUCCAUAAAACAAAUAAAUAACUGUUGCGCUUAUCUGGAAAGGUUGAUGUUCUCAUACUGAAGUAACAUGCGCUGACGUCACAAGUUAAUCAAUUAUUAUUCAAACUCCAACCUAACUAUUUGGUAUACGAGGAAGCUUGUCCAUGAAAUCCAUAGUAAUAUUCUCCCAUUUCCGCCGUGGAAUGGGAAAUGACUACAUUAUUCCAAAAGACUUAUUUCUUUCUGCUUUAACCUGAUGACUGAUGAUACGCCUACUAACAUACUUCGCCAUUCCUCUUUUCAUACCCGUCAAUAGUACAUGAACGAAUGGUAUGAUAAAUCUUAGUACUUUUGGGAUGCAUUGUAGAAGUGGAAUAAUGUACAUCGUCAAAAUUGCUUUAUUUAAUUCCACACCAUUAGGCAUAAACACUUUGUUCCCUUGCAUAAGCUUGCCAUCUGAUUCUCUAACUCUAAGGUCCUUCUUUAUCCCGUUAUUCCUUGCUUUAAAUAAAUUCUUAAAUUUCUUCGUCAAACGCUUGAGUAUCGAGUACGAUCUACCAAAUGGGUCCAACUUAGAAAUUAGCAAGUAAGGCUUAUUCUCGAUUUUUGAUACUCAACUUUACUCCAGUAGAUUUCAAAUCCACAAGAAGAUGAACAUAGCAAGCAUACCAAGCAUUAAUUCUCACUGGGGUCUUCCUACUAAAUGCAUCAGCCACAACAUUAGCUUGACCACCCUCGUCACACAAUCAUAAUCACUAAGCAACUCAUUCCACCUUUGUUGCCUAAGAUUAAGAUACCUCUGAAUAAACAGAUAUUGGGUACUCUUUUGAUUUGUAACAAUCAUGCACUUUUCUUCCCAUAAAGACAAUGUCUCCAAAUUCUCAAAGCAAAGAUGAUAGCUGCUAAUUCCAAAUUAUAAUUAGGGUAAUUCAUCUUAUGAGAUCCCAAUGGCCAUGAAGCAUAGGCAAUCAUCCUACCAUGUUGCAUCAACGCGCAUUCAAGAACAUUCAAAGAAGUAUUACUAUAGACCACGUAAUUACCACUAUCGUUUGGGAGUGCGAAAACAGAUGCAUGAGUGAGGGAAUACUUUACUUGCUGAAGCUCUACUCACAAUUUUUCAUCCCACUCAAACUUAACCUCUUUUCUCAUCAAUCUCGCCAAGGGCGAAGCAAUAAUUAAAAUCUUGGACGAACUAUCGACAAUAUCCUGCUAAUCCGAGAAAACUCUGAACCUCAGUCACGGUUGGCAAUUGUUCCAAAUUCUCAAUCGUUGCUACUCUUUUAAGAAUCCACUUGAAUACCUUAAGUAGAUAUAAUUAAUUUAUCCAACAUUAGCAUUUGCUAAACUUAGCAUACAUCAACGUUCCUUCAAUCUUUGCAACACCAACUUUAAAUAUCUAGCAUGCACUGCUCUAAUCUUAUCAAUCUCGUCAAUGGCAACAACAACAAACCGAUCUAGAUAUCACUGGAAUACUUCCUUCAGUAAGCUCAUAAAAGUAGCAGGUGCAUUCGUCACUCCGUAUGGCAUCCCAACUUGAAAUGACCAUAACGAGUCCUGGAUUCAGUCUUAUGGACAUCCCCACUGUUAAUCUUCAACUAAUAUCAUUCAGACCUCAAGUCAGUCUCAGAAAGUACCCAGGCGCCUCAGAGCUGAUCAAAUAAUAAUUAAUACACAACAAUGGAUAACAGCUCUCAAUCGUUACCCGAUUCAAUUACCUAAUAUCAAUGCCUAGCCUUAAUGUCCACUUUCUUCCUCACAAAUAAACCGGAGCUUUUCCAAUGUGAUAUAAUAAGUUGAAUGGAACUUUUAACUAAACCUGAACCAAUUUCUAACAUAGGAUUUGUACCUAAAAACAAUUCAAUAAUGGAACCCACAUCUCUGCCUGGCGGCAAUCUAGGUAAGUCAUCUGGGAAUACACCAAGAAAAUGUCUAACCAUCUUUACAUCUUCCAUACUAUUAGGAUCAACAUCAUUUAGCACCAUAUGAACUCAAUAUCUUGGCAGCCUUUUGAUAACAAUCUUCUUUGCUCUCUCAACAGGAAUAAUGGCAUAACUCACUCCACUUUACUUACCCCCAAAAGUAACCUCUGGUCAUCUAGGUCAACAAAAAUUAACUGAUUCCCCAUAGCAAUCUAGCUUGACACAAUUAUACUGCACCCACUGGUGCCAAAAAAAUCACCUCAAAAUCCAUAAUAUCCAACGGAAUAAAAUUCACUGACAUGACAUUUUUCACCAUCACUGGACACCCUUAAUAAACCAAAUCAACAUAAAGUGCCUUACUUGUUUACUUACUUAACGAAUCCAACAAAUAAGUUAUAAAUAUUACGGUCUGCAGCCCGCAAUACAAAUAACUCACUGUUGUCUCGAUAACUAAGUAACAAUUCCUGAGGGGUGUAAUAUUAUCAUCUUGUUCUUCCUUAGAAAUACAUAAAUACGCCUCGAUCGUGCUCCAACAUUACUUUCUUUGGCAACAUCGACCAUAAUAAGAAAUAUAUCAGCCGGAGUCAGCUAGAAUGACCUGUACGACUGAGUCUACAACUCGACCAUCCAUGCUAGCACAUAAGUCGGAGUCACAUAUAGUGACCUGUACGACUUACUCGUCAAUAUUUCCAAGUGAUAUGUUAAGGAAGACUAUUGGGUAACAACUGAUUCCAGGGACAAUUCAUACCUCUAUGUCCCAUCCGUCCACAUGAACACAUUCACUGAUUCCCACACUCUCCAAAGUGUCUAAUAUUAUACCUAUGGCACAAAGGUACAUUUCCCUUACUCGAGUCACCUUGUCUUUAAGAUCUGGGAUCACCCGUAAAUCUAUCACUUCGCCUCGGACCAGUGGCACUAAAACCUCAGUUGGAAGAAUUAGUUCUAACUUCACUUCUUUUGAAGCUCUGAGUCUUUCGACGUCCUUGAUAUGACGGAUCUUUAACUUUCUCACCUUUCCUCUAAUUACCAUUCUUUUCUUAUUCUUCUUUACUCUCGCUGAUCAUAUUCUCAAAGUCCUCAAAGCCCAACAACAUCUCGUAAACUCCUGGUAAAAAGUACAAUGGAUUGUGGUCGCCAAAGAACGUCACUUCUUCUUAUUAUCCCGCCAAAAAACGACAUAACACCUCGACCGGAUUAGUAACAACAUCCGAAUGGAAACAAGGCAAGUCUGUAUUCAAAUUUAACUUAUAAUCAGUCUCAAAGGUUCCUUUAGAUAAUAGACUGAAUCAUAGUGACAAUAAUUUCCCCCAAACUACUAUAUCAGGGAAUUUAGGCUCAUCCGAACUACGUGGCUCGCUAUGAGGCGGUAUAUAGUUCUGACAGAAGACACUAGGAAAUUCUCAAGAUGUCCAGAAUUGCAACCUAGGCUCUGAUACCAACUGACACACCCGUCCCGACACCCGUCCCGAAGUGAGGGCGUGCUGGCCGUCACGUGAGAGUGACGUAACCAUUUACAUAGUUCAGAAGCUUUAAAAAAAAAUUUCCAAUUACUAAGAUGACACACCCGAGGGUGAGUCCUACUUUUGUGAAUUCUGUCAGAACACCGUUGGAUUCCUCGUGGCCACCAAAGCUCUGCUAACUUGAACCUGGAGGGGCGCAAAACAAAAUUGAGUGGGUCAGUAAAAACAAAGUUUUUUGAAAACUUUUCAUUUAAAAUAUUUCUAACCCCUCACCGUAAAACCUGUAUACUUUCCCAGAAAAUAGCAUAUAUAUAAACAUAUAUAUAAGCAAAAAUCUCAAAUCUCAAACCUUUAACACUUUUCAGAAAAAUAUAUAUAUAUAUAUAACCAUAUGAAAUCUCAAAACUUGAAUCCCAAAUCUUUAACAUUUUUCAAGAAAAACAUGCCAUGCCAUAAAUCAAAAUAUAAAUCAGGUGAAAUAAGGAAUCAAUCGGAGACCCUGCAGUUGGUCCUAUACGAUUAAUUCAAUAGCUCAAUAUCUCACUAAGCCGGAGUCACCACAGUGACCUAUACGGCCCUACUCUGCACAUCACUCGGAACUACGUAAGGUAGUCUGUACGAUGAAAGGUGUAAAAAUACGCUCUAGUGCUUCUCUCAUCAUAUCAUCAGCGCGCAUAACUAAGGUCACCCACUAGUCGGAAUCACGCCUAGUGAUCUGUACGACUAGCAUGUCGGAACCCUCACAUGGUCUGUACGACAUCCACCUACUUGGAUCCAAGGCGAGCGUGCGGUGUGGUGAAUAAAAUAAGCACUAACACCUAGGGUGCAGAUUAUGAGCUCAAAUUAUAUCAACAUCAACCAAUUCAAUGCAUAAAUGAACUCACCUGACUUACCUUUGCCUCCACAGCACCAUGCAAUAUGUAUGCAUCAUAUAUCAAUCAUAUAAUUCAUAAACCAAUCCAUGAUUUUCAAAUAAUUCUAUGCAUGGCAUGUUCAAAACAUAUUUUCAUAUAAAACAUUUUCUGGGAAAAACAGUAGUAUAUAGGUAAUACGAAAACAAAACUGCCCACUCACCUGGAGUUCGCUCAACAACUCCCUAGCACCACACAUCAAGGCGUCAUGAAGAUUAGCGCCUAGAACAAUAAUCAAACCCAACCUCAGAAAUCCUGCCGAUAGAAUACAUAACUUAUAUAAGACACGUCACUACGUAGUUCGAUCCGGAUGAUCUGCAAUUCAGAUUUCAAAUCCGAAACUUCCAGAGGUCCACAAUAUACCUCUAGGACAACAUCCUAAAAUUUCGUUACCAUCCAACGGUCGGAUCUCCGUCAAUUUCCAAAACUAAGUGACGGUUAACAUUCUAUUUU